GUGUCAGCAGCCGCGGUAAGACGAACUGUCCUAACGUUGUUCGGAAUCACUGGGCUUAAAGGGCGCGUAGGCGGUCCGACAAGUCGGGGGUGAAAUCCUGCAGCUUAACUGCAGAAGUGCCUUCGAUACUGUCGGUCUUGAGGGAGAUAGGGGUGUGCGGAACUUCCAGUGGAGCGGUGAAAUGCGUUGAUAUUGGAAGGAACGCCGGAGGCGAAAGCGGCGCACUGGAUCUCUACUGACGCUGAGGCGCGAAAGCCAGGGGAGCAAACGGGAUUAGAUACCCCUGUAGUCC
rnacentral:rRNA from 1 species